rnacentral:rRNA from 1 species
AUAAGGUGGAAGCGGAUAGAGCUGACGUAGCUGGUCCGUAUUCAGCCGUUCAUGGUGUAUGGUUGUUGGCUGGCAGAGGCGGUGGUCUCCGUCGUCUCUUGUCGGUUGAUUGACCGUGUGCUUGGGCGGUGUAUUUACGGGCCAAAUGUGCUGAGGAGUGCGCGUUGAUCGUUUGACGUUGGGUUAGAGGAAACUCGUUUCGGCGAUUGAACCCUAGCCUCUCUGAGAACGCAUUCGGCGUGCAUGCGUGUCUCUCUGGACAUAGCGUGUCUGGAGCGUUGUCGGUGGACGGAUGGUCGCGGAUUGUGGCGGUCGCUUGCGACACGUGCUUUUCAUGACUGUUUCCUGGCAUGCUCCUUUUUGUCCAACCUCGGUGUAAAAGUCAGUCAUCUAUCCGACCCGUCUUGAAACACGGACCAAGGAGUUUAGCGUAUGCGCGAGUCAUUGGGUCAUUAAACCUAAAGGCGUAAUGAAAGUGAAUACAAAUUCGAUUUGUUGACAUGCGAUCCGGCGUACCUCGGUGCGUCGGCGCAGCAUGGCCCCGUUCCUGUCGCAUGCGACGGGGCGGAGGUAGAGCGUAUGCGCUGAUACCCGAAAGAUGGUGAACUAUGCCUGAGCAGGACGAAGCCAGAGGAAACUCUGGUGGAAGUCCGAAGCGGUUCUGACGUGCAAAUCGAUCG